UGCAAGUCGAACGAUGAAGCUGGAGCUUGCUCCGGUGGAUUAGUGGCGAACGGGUGAGUAACACGUGAGAAAUCUGCCCCUGACUCUGGGAUAACUGCGGGAAACUGUAGCUAAUACCGGAUACUUUCCCUGGUGGGCAUCCACUGGGGAAGAAAGAAUUUCGGUCAGGGAGGAUCUCGCGGCCUAUCAGCUAGUUGGUGAGGUAACGGCUCACCAAGGCGACGACGGGUAACCGGCCUGAGAGGGUGACCGGUC
rnacentral:rRNA from 1 species